AUGCAAGAGAAGAAAGUUGUUGCUUAUACCUCUCGCCAGUUGAAGCCUAAUGAGAAGAACUACCCCACUCAUGAUCUCGAGUUGGCGGCAGUUGUGCAUGCUCUUUUGACUUGGAGACAUCUUCUAUUGGGAGGAAAAGUGGACAUUUUUACUGAUCACAAGAGUCUCAAGUACAUCUUCACUCAGACUAAUCUCAACCUCAGGCAAACGAGAUGGGUCGAAAUGAUUCAAGAGUAUAAUCCGAGUAUUGAGUAUACUCCAGGCAAGGCCAAUGUGAUUGCUGACGCAUUGAGCAGAAAGGCUUACUGCAACAGUCUGAUUCUUAAGCCUUAUCAACCCGAGCUUUGUGAAGCUUUCCGCAAACUUAAUCUGCAAGUUGUUCCCCAAGGUUUCCACGCCAACCUUCAAGUCUCUCCUACCUUGGAAGAUCAGAUUUGCCAAGCCCAGCUUCUUGAUGCUAUGGUGAAAAAGGUGAAGAUUGGGAUUGCCAAGAGUCAGUCCAAGUACAAGUGCUACCGCCUUGAUGACAAGGACACUCUCUUUUUCGAGGAUCGUAUUGUUGUACCCAAAGGUGACCUCCGUAAAGUGAUCUUGAACGAGGCUCACAAUUCUCUUCUCUCCAUCCACCCUGGGAGCACGAAGAUGUAUCAGGACCUUAAGCAAGCUUAUUGGUGGACUCGAAUGAAGCGCGAGAUUGCUCAAUUCGUGAAUGAAUGUGAUGUCUGCAGAAGAGUGAAGGCAGAACACCAAAGGCCAGCUGGUCUCCUCCAACCUCUUGCCAUUCCAGAAUGGAAGUUUGACCACAUUGAAAUGGACUUCGUGACUGGGUUUCCAAAGUCCAAGCAUGGCAAUGAUGCUAUAUUCGUUGUCAUCGACAAACUCACCAAAGUGGCUCACUUUCUGCCUAUCAAAGAGUCGAUCACUGCAGCUCAAUUGGCGGAACUCUAUACCUCUCGUACUGUCUCUCUGCACGGUAUUCCACAAGUGAUCUCUUCAGACCGUGGCAGCAUCUUUACAUCCAAGUUUUGGGAUUCUUUUCAGAAGGCCAUGGGCACCAACAUCCGCUUCAGCACAGCUUUCCAUCCUCAAACUAGCGGUCAAGUCGAGCGUGUCAACCAGAUUCUUGAAGAUAUGCUCAGGGCUUGUGUGAUCUCCUUCGGCAUGAAGUGGGAGGAUUGUCUUCCUUAUGCUGAAUUCUCCUACAACAACAGUUUUCAAGCAAGUUCGGGCAAGGCCCCGUUCGAAAUUCUGUAUGGCAGGAAGUGCUGUACCCCUCUCAACUGGUCUGAAACCGGUGAACGUCAGCUUUUGGGUAAUGACUUAAUCACAGAGGCAGAGGAAAUGUGCAAAGUCAUUGAGAUAACCUCAAAGCAGCCCAAUCCCGUCAGAAGAGUUACUAUGAUAGUAAGCACCGUGAUUUGGCUUUCGAGAUCGGAUAUCAUGUUUACCUCCGCGUCUCUCCUAUGA
rnacentral:rRNA from 1 species